AUUGAACGCUGGCGGUAUGCCUAACACAUGCAAGUCGAACGAGGUAGCAAUACCUAGUGGCGGACGGGUGAGGAAUACGUAGGGAUCUGCCUUUAAGUGGGGGAUAACCCGGGGAAACCCGGAUUAAUACCGCAUGAUCUCGCAAGAGCAAAGAGGGGGACCGCAAGGCCUCUCGCUUUUAGAGGAACCUACGUCGGAUUAGCUAGUUGGUGAGGUAAUGGCUCACCAAGGCGACGAUCCGUAACUGGUCUGAGAGGAUGAUCAGUCACACCGGAACUGAGACACGGUCCGGACUCCUACGGGAGGCAGCAGUGGGGAAUAUUGGACAAUGGGCGAAAGCCUGAUCCAGCAAUACCGCGUGUGUGAAGAAGGCCUCGG
rnacentral:rRNA from 1 species